CACAAAUGACUUAAGGCUAGCUUACACUUCGAUUAGUACAGGUGUUUAGCAAUUGCGGUGCGAGUGCCAGUCCUUAGUGCCAGUUGUGUUCAAUACUGUUUAGCUCCUGCGAUUAGUAAUUCAAGUUUUGGGCGUCGAGCAGCAAGUAUGGAUGAACAAAAACAAGCGCGCUUGCUAUUGCAAGAAAUACUUUUAAAAAAAUGAACGCGGUAGUGUUUGAAACUAAAGAACUUUUCGAAUCGGAACUUGCAAGGUCAAACUAUAGGAACGAAAGUGGAUAAGUAGUAGACCCAUUCAUGGCGCACGCUACCAACUUCUCCAGGAAUUGGCUUCUGAAGAUACCACGGAAUAUUACUAUGCUCAGGUACCUAGUGACACCAAAUAGAAAAAGAUUGAGCAAGGUUUCAAAAAUUCUUGGUGUUUCCCUAGUUGCUAAGGUGUUAUAGAUGACCAUUAAAGCUCCACCACAAGCAGGAAGUUAUUACUACAACCAUAAAAAAUCUAAUAGCAUUGUACUCGUGGCAGUAGCAGAUGAUGGCUACUGUUUUACAUAUUUUGAUGUUGGCUGUAAUAAAAGUAUAUCAGAUGGUGGAGUUUUCUCAAA